CGGACGGGCGAGUAAUGUCUGGGAAACUGCCUGAUGGAGGGGGGUAACUACUGGAAACGGUAGCUAAUACCGCAUAACGUCGCAAGACCAAAGAGGGGGACCUUAGGGCCUCUUGCCAUCGGACGUGCCCAGAUGGGAUUAGCUAGUAGGUGGGGUAACGGCUCACCUAGGCGACGAUCCCUAGCUGGUCUGAGAGGAUGACCAGCCACACUGGAACUGAGACACGGUCCAG
rnacentral:rRNA from 1 species